CCUAGAACCGCCCCUGAACAACGGUAUCUAAUAACCUUUGUGUAAAAUGUUAAAGUAGGAAAAUCACUUAUUAUGUGAUAUAUUACUCUUAUACGAUUAUACAGUUGAUUUAAUAGGAAAACAACGUUUUGUUUAUAUUUCAGGUGUGUGGUUGUACAUCGUUGUUGCAGUGGGUUUGGCAGCACUUUUGAUAAUAGUUGUUGCAGUUGUGGGAUGGAGGAAAUCUAAAGCUAACGAAACACAAAUGGAUGACCACAUCAGGCUGACCUCAAACCCUGCAGUGACUCAGUCUGCUCCGGAAAGCUGUCAGGACACGGCUGAACCUGAAGAUGGUGUUUUCUACGCCUCCAUCAGCCA